GAGGAGAGCAAUGCGGGGGCCCGAGCGGCAGCUCGAACAGUAAUGUGGAUUUACAGUCGUUUUCCGCAGGAAUCGGCCGAGACGCCCUAAGUCCCGGGCACUGACAGCGCCCAGCGGAGCUGAGCACCUGGCGAGGGGGCGGGGGAACCGCACCUGGGGACGCAGCCGAAACUUGCGCUUGGAAUAGGAGUUACAAGGGUGAUCUUUAUUCCGCUGUCUCCUUUUUGAUUGACAGAACUUCUGGAUCUAUCAAGUGCUAUGCAUCAUUUCUCAAAUGUGAAUUCUCAUUCCAAGCUGUAAAAAAGUCAAAAGGAUGAUCUGAAUUUGUGGUAAGUCUUUGGCAUCACUUGUACUUUUUUAAGAGUAUGUAAAAGAGAAAUGCACAAACUUUCAGAAUUUGCAUUGCCCUUCUAAAAAUAUA
rnacentral:lncRNA from 13 species